rnacentral:rRNA from 1 species
UACGGGGGAGGCGAGCGUUAUUCAUCGUAACUGGGCGUAAAGCGCCAAUAGGCGGUCCAGCAAAUCAAUUAAAAACCUUCGCAGAGGUUGACUGCGAUGGGAUUCGAAACCUACUGGACUUGGGUUUGGUAGAAGAGGGAUGGAGCUCACGGUCUAGAUGUGAAAUGCUCUGACACCGUUGGGAACUACCAUUUGGCGGAAGCAACUCUCUAUGCCAUUUCCGACGCUGAGGGGCUAAAGCGUGGGGAGCAAACGGG